rnacentral:rRNA from 1 species
UCGAGAAUCUUUCGCAAUGGGCGCAAGCCUGACGAAGCGACGCCGUGUGAGUGAAGAAGGCCUUCGGGUUGUAAAACUCUUUCGCUAGGGAACAAGAAAGGCAGGAUAAUACCCUGCUGAUUUGAUGGUACUUGGUAAAGAAGCACCGGCUAACUCCGUGCCAGCAGCUGCGGUAAUACGGAGGGUGCAAGCAUUGAUCGGAAUUACUGGGCGUAAAGGGCGCGUAGGCGGCUCGAAAAGUCGGAUGUGAAAUUCCGGGGCUCAACCCCGGAGCUGCAUUUGAAACUCUCGAGCUAGAGUACAGUUAGGGUAAACGGAAUUCCACGUGUAGCGGUGAAAUGCGUAGAUAUGUGGAAGAACACCGGUGGUGAAGACGGUUUACUGGGCUGAAACUGACGCUGAGGCGCGAAAGCUAGGGGAGCAAACAGG